UACGUAGGGACCAAGCGUUGUUCGGAUUUACUGGGCGUAAAGGGCUCGUAGGCGGCCAACUAAGUCCGACGUGAAAUCCCAAGGCUUAACCUUGGAACUGCGUCGGAUACUGGAUGGCUUGAAUUCGGGAGAGGGAUGCAGAAUUCCAGGUGUAGCGGUGAAAUGCGUAGAUAUCUGGAGGAAUACCGGUGGCGAAGGCGACUACCUGGCCUGUUCUUGACGCUGAGGCGCGAAAGCUAGGGGAGCAAACGGG
rnacentral:rRNA from 1 species